CCUAAAAAAAAAAAAUUAGGAUAAAUAAAAUCGAUUGCAUUACAUAAAAAUAAAACAAUACAAAUAUAGUCUACAUUAACAUAAUAAGGAAUGAAGUGUUAUCUAGAAAAUAACUUGACUUAUCUACGUAGGAAAAAUUAAUAUAUCGAUUUUUCAACUUAUCCAUUAACGCCUUAAUGCUCACGAAUACAAAGAAUCCUAGAAUCUAUUUAAUCCAAACCUAUUAUCUGUAGCAGCCAUUUUUAAUAAUCUAUCAGAUCUUCGUUACCGUCCGAGCCCCAGAGAGCAAUUAGACCAGCCAUUUUCAACCGCCAACCAAACUCCCUGCGGAUAACCAAACAGUAAGGUUAACCGCUUCCCAUCGUGUGUAUUGUCGGGUCAUUUGUCUUCCAGCCAGCAACCGGAGGGCCAGAAUACUCGGACUUGGUCACUAAUACCUAUAUUACGGACGUAGGCUGCCUUAACAAUAGCGCAGGAAACUAUAUAAGAGCUAUGACAUUCCUCGAUUGAGUCGUGCUAGGUAAUAAUCGGAUCCUCCUUAAUAGAGUCGAGCCCGCAAUCAGAUUCUCUUUUUUAACAAGGUGUUUAAAGCCGUAAAAGCUUUAAAAUUAAUGAAAUAUUUUCUGAUUUUGCUAGAAAUCAACGUCUUUAACUAAUACGACGGAAUAAGAAUCAAGAAAGCUAACUUAUUCGAGCAAAAGCAAGCUGUUAUGUAACGAUAUAAUACCUAGAAGUAUUUAUAUCUUAUAGAAAAGUACUGUAUUAAGAUUUAAAACUCUUAGUGUUAAGCCUGUUUACGGCAAAUAAUAACCCAUAAUGGGUAUAAAAUCAAUAUUCUGGAUUCACUUUUUAAAAAAAAAUCAGGCACUUUAGCCACAAAUAUGAGCCUGGAUAACUGUCGACCGCUAUUUAGAGAUAGCGGCAAGGAUGUAUAAAAGAUCAAGUUCUCUUUAGCGAUAGUGUCGAGCUUGUAUAAUACAUC